rnacentral:rRNA from 1 species
UAAGCCAGUGAGGGCCAGAUUAGUAGUUGGGUCGGUGACGACCAGCGAAUACCUGGUGUUGUAUGUU